UAUCACAAGUGCGAAUGCUGACAUAAGUAACGAUAAAACGAGUGAAAAACUCGUUCGCCGGAAGACCAAGGGUUCCUGUCCAACGUUAAUCGGGGCAGGGUGAGUCGGCCCCUAAGGCGAGGCUGAAAAGCGUAGUCGAUGGGAAACGGGUUAAUAUUCCCGUACUUGGUAAAGCUGCGAUGUGGGGACGGAGAAGGUUAGGUUAGCAGACUGUUGGAUGUCUGUUUAAGUUGGUAGGUGGGGAGUUUAGGCAAAUCCGGACUUCCAUAACACUGAGAGAUGAUGACGAGUUUCUACGGAAAUGAAGUAACUGAUACCACGCUUCCAGGAAAAGCCACUAAGCGAAAGGCUUUACUAAACCGUACUGAAAACCGACACAGGUGGUCAGGUAGAGAAUACUCAGGCGCUUGAGAGAACUCGGGUGAAGGAACUAGGCAAAAUAGCACCGUAACUUCGGGAGAAGGUGCGCUGGCGUAGGUUGUAAGAGUAUACCUCCGAAGGCUGAACCAGUCGAAGAUACCAGCUGGCUGCAACUGUUUAUUAAAAACACAGCACUCUGCAAACACGAAAGUGGACGUAUAGGGUGUGAUGCCUGCCCGGUGCUGGAAGGUUAAUUGAUGGUGUUAUCGAAAGAGAAGCUCCUGAUCGAAGCCCCAGUAAACGGCGGCCGUAACUAUAACGGUCCUAAGGUAGCGAAAUUCCUUGUCGGGUAAGUUCCGACCUGCACGAAUGGCAUAAUGAUGGCCAGGCUGUCUCCACCCGAGACUCAGUGAAAUUGAAAUCGCCGUGAAGAUGCGGUGUACCCGCGGCUAGACGGAAAGACCCCGUGAACCUUUACUAUAGCUUGACACUGAACAUUGAAUUUUGAUGUGUAGGAUAGGUGGGAGACUAAGAAGCAGGCACGCCAGUGCUUGUGGAGUCGWCCUUGAAAUACCACCCUUUAACGUUUGAUGUUCUAACGAAGAUUACGAAACGUGGUCUCGGACAGUGUCUGGUGGGUAGUUUGACUGGGGCGGUCUCCUCCCAAAGCGUAACGGAGGAGCACGAAGGUUUGCUAAUCACGGUCGGACAUCGUGAGGUUAGUGCAAUGGUAUAAGCAAGCUUAACUGCGAGACAGACAAGUCGAGCAGGUGCGAAAGCAGGUCAUAGUGAUCCGGUGGUUCUGAAUGGAAGGGCCAUCGCUCAACGGAUAAAAGGUACUCCGGGGAUAACAGGCUGAUACCGCCCAAGAGUUCAUAUCGACGGCGGUGUUUGGCACCUCGAUGUCGGCUCAUCACAUCCUGGGGCUGAAGUAGGUCCCAAGGGUAUGGCUGUUCGCCAUUUAAAGUGGUACGCGAGCUGGGUUUAGAACGUCGUGAGACAGUUCGGUCCCUAUCUGCCGUGGGCGUUGGAGAAUUGAGAGGGGCUGCUCCUAGUACGAGAGGACCGGAGUGGACGCAUCACUGGUGUACCAGUUGUCUCGCCAGAGGCAUUGCUGGGUAGCUAAAUGCGGAAGAGAUAAGUGCUGAAAGCAUCUAAGCACGAAACUCGCCUUAAGAUGAGUUCUCCCUAGCUAUAAGCUAGUAAGGGUUGUUGRAGACUACGACGUAGAUAGGUCUGGUGUGUAAGCGGUGUGAGCCGUUGAGCUAACAGAUACUAAUUGCCCGAGAGGCUUAACUAU
rnacentral:rRNA from 1 species